UGGGGAAUUUUGCGCAAUGGGGGCAACCCUGACGCAGCAACGCCGCGUGCGGGACGACGGCCUUCGGGUUGUAAACCGCUUUCAGCAGGGAAGAAAUUCGACGGUACCUGCAGAAGAAGCUCCGGCUAACUACGUGCCAGCAGCCGCGGUAAUACGUAGGGAGCGAGCGUUAUCCGGAUUCAUUGGGCGUAAAGAGCGCAUAGGCGGCCUCUCAAGCGGGAUCUCUAAUCCGAGGGCUCAACCCCCGGCCGGAUCCCGAACUGGGAGGCUCGAGUUCGGUAGAGGCAGGCGGAAUUCCCGGUGUAGCGGUGGAAUGCGCAGAUAUCGGGAAGAACACCGAUGGCGAAGGCAGCCUGCUGGGCCGCAACUGACGCUGAGGCGCGAAAGCUAGGGGAGCGAACAGG
rnacentral:rRNA from 1 species